GCUGCGAGCGAACAGGGAAGAGCCCAGCACCGAAUCCCGCGGCCGAUACCGGACGCCGGGAAAUGUGGUGUUAGGGAGGGUCCAUUAUCCCGAGGUUAUGCGGUGCGUCCAAGUCCUUCUUGAACGGGGCCACAGCCCAUAGAGGGUGCUAGGCCCGUAGUGACCGCUGCUAAUCGCGGGAGGAUCUCUCCUCAGAGUCGGGUUGCUUGAGAGUGCAGCCCUAAGUGGGUGGUAAACUCCAUCUAAGGCUAAAUAUGACCACGAGACCGAUAGCGAACAAGUACCGUGAGGGAAAGUUGAAAAGCACUUUGAAGAGAGAGUUAAAGAGUACGUGAAACCGUUUAGGGGUAAACCUGAGAAAUCCGAAAGGUCGAAGGGAGAAAUUCAUUCGCGUCUCGCUAUUAGCGUUAAGCGGUCGUGUGACGGAGAACGUUCGCGCGUUCACCGCGCCUUCCGUUUUUCGAUCCGAUGGCGAACGCGUGCACUUUUCUCCUGGUAGGACGUCGCGAUCCGUUGGGUGUCGGUCUACGGCUCUCGGUGGAGCCCGUGCGUACGGCUUGCCGUCACGCGCGGACCCGAGUGUCCCGGCUGACUCGCUCGACGGUAUACGAAAGGUUUAAGGCCGCUCUUUUUUGAGCGUUCGGCUCGUUGCAAGCGCGCCGGAUGUGUUGGCGAUCGGACCUAGCGCCGAUUCUGACCUCCGGUGACUGUUGGCGACGAAGUUCUCGAACAGACCUCUAACCGAUCUGCGAC
rnacentral:rRNA from 1 species